rnacentral:misc_RNA from 1 species
AUUUGGUAGGUAGGUUUCUUAUAGGGCGUAAACAUCCACUAAGAGAUGAUUUUACGAAACUCGACCCCUAAGGGGAUAAAACGGGGUUUGGAAGUUUGUAUGAAAGUCCUACGUUUUUGAAGUAAGAGACUUGAAAUUUAAAAUAUAUGCUCUUUAGAUGGUGAGAAGGUGUCCAAAUAAUGUAUCUUUAGAAAUCAACCCCUUUUUGGG